rnacentral:tRNA from 1 species
AGGGCUAUAGCUCAGUUGGUAGAGCACCUCGUUUACACCGAGAGAGUCUACGGUUCGAGUCCGUAUAGCCCUA